rnacentral:ncRNA from 2 species
GGCGGUGAGCACGGGAGUCCGCGGAUGCCGGACUGAGAGGGGGCGCCAAGGCCCCGACCGUCGAACCUGAUCCGGGUCAUGCCGGCGCAGGGAGCGUGGAGUUGUCUGAA